rnacentral:pre_miRNA from 1 species
CAAAUACUCCCUCCGUCCGGAAAUACUUGUCAUCAAAAUGGAUAAAAGGAAAUGUAUCUAGACAUAUUUUAGUUUUAGAUAAAUCUCUUUUUAUCCAUUUUGAUGACAAGUAUUUUCGGACGGAGGGAGUAGAAA